AAUCAGCUUGUGUGUCAGUGGAACGGUCUGGAAAGGCCGGCGAUACAGGGUGACAGCCCCGUACACGAAGGCACACAGGCUGUGAGCUCGAUGAGUAGGGCGGGACACGUGAUAUCCUGUCUGAAGAUGGGGGGACCAUCCUCCAAGGCUAAAUACUCCUGACUGACCGAUAGUGAACCAGUACCGUGAGGGAAAGGCGAAAAGAACCCCGGCGAGGGGAGUGAAACAGAACCUGAAACCGUGUACGUACAAGCAGUGGGAGCCUUCGUAAGAGGGUGACUGCGUACCUUUUGUAUAAUGGGUCAGCGACUUAUAUUCUGUAGCAAGGUUAACCGUAUAGGGGAGCCGAAGGGAAACCGAGUCUUAAC
rnacentral:rRNA from 1 species